rnacentral:rRNA from 1 species
UACGGGGGGAGCAAGCGUUGUUCGGACUUACUGGGCGUAAAGGGCGCGUAGGCGGUCGUGACAAGUCACUUGUGAAAUCUCCGGGCUUAACUCGGAACGGUCAAGUGAUACUGUCGGACUAGAGUACAGAAGGGGCAACUGGAAUUCUCGGUGUAGCGGUGAAAUGCGUAGAUAUCGAGAGGAACACCUGCGGCGAAGGCGGGUUGCUGGGCUGAUACUGACGCUGAGGCGCGAAAGCCAGGGGAGCGAACGGG